CGCUCGCCCCGCCCUGCCGUCUCGCCCGUCCCGCCGUCUCGCCCGCCCCACCGCCCUGCCCCGCCCAACCCGUCCCGCUCGCCGUGGCCGUGGCCUAUGACCGCGGCCCCGCCGUCCCGCCCUGCCGUCUCGCCCGCCCCGCCGUCUCGCCCGCCCCACCGCCCCGUCCGUCCCGCUUGCCGUGGCCGUGGCUGAUGACCGCGGCGCAGCAAGGACCAUCCGCCUCGCCUCUCCUCCUCCCCAUAGGCCCCCAUCAAGCUCGCGCUCACUGCUCUGGGUCGCGCGCCGCCGUGCCCCCGGUCAACUCUGCAUGGGCCGCCUCCCUCCUCCUCCUUCCCAUCGGGAUCGGGCAGGAGGAGCGCAGGAAGGUCAUGGGUCACCUCCCUCAUCCUCCCCAUCGGGACCGGGCAGGAGGAUGAGCGCCCUCCCUCGUGACCGCCUCAACGGGAGAAGGGAUGCGGCCGUCGCUGCCGACGAGAACAUCGCUAGUGAGCGCGGUGGCAGCCAUCGACGACCUCGAGCGUGUGGGCGCGUUGGUGAGCGCGGCGGCGGUCGUGGCCGUGGCCGAGCUCGAGCCCUGGCGCAGCGGCGCGUUGUUGAGCACGGUGGCGGCCCGACCAUGGCCGAGCUCGAGCGUCUCAGUCUCCGAUGGCUCCUGCGUGUGCCGCUCCUGGGUGAGGUUCUGAAGAGCCACUGUUUGUUCCGUUCGUCGAGGAUUCGACCGUCCUGCCGACUACUGCUGCGUUGAGAUGUUGCAAGGCUUCGGGUGUGUGACAUUUCCUGGCUGAUGUGGUCCAAGGGCAAUUAUCAAGUGGUCGGGGUUGCGGAGGAGAAUUUGAGGUUUCAGAAUAAUCUCCCACCACCACCACGAUUCAUAUCUGGAGAAGCUUUGUGGAAUCCGUGGUGUUGUCCUUCUCGUACUAUGGUUGCUGGCCUAUGGGGAAUCAGGAUGGACAUUGAGCAAAGUGGCAGCAACGGGUGGCAGGUGUUGUGGCCGAGGAGCUCCAGCACACACCCACAUGUUCACUUGUUGACCUGGCAGCUCUUCACUGAGGUUUGCUGCUUUGGUUUGGCUGGGAUGUGUGCCUCCAUGGUUGGGUCGUGUGGACUGCUGGCAAGGAUGGAGAAGCAUAGGAAGGUGUCACCAUUGCAUAGAUUCUAUUAUAGCCAUGCUAGCUGCUUGGCCAUGUCAUUUUGUUCACACAGGUGUGUCCACAACAACUCUGAUAGUGCCAUGCCGGACACGGUAUCAUUAAACAAGGACUCUUUUGGCGGACUCUUUUAUCACCUGUUUCCUGGCGCUAAGUCUGCAAACGGUUCAGCUUUGCUUCAGUCCUCUCUUGAGGCCAGAGCAGUAACAUGAGAAAAAACAUCGUAUUAGCUUCUGUAUUAACAAGUGUAAUUAUGUAGUACUAUAUUUUGAUCGGUUUUGUUUCCUCUAUACUGCCAAAAUAUCAUAAUUAGACUGCAUUACAUAACAGCAAGAAUAUUGCCAUACAACUCAGAUUCAUAUAACUUGCAGUAUGUUCCAUGAUAAAUGUAUCCAACAGGGGCUGGACAUAUUUUUUUUGCUUCAUAGUUCAUUUUGAAUGAAAAUAACAAAUGGUUUCUACCUCCAUGGUUGACCUGUUUUGUCAUUGUUCUCUCCGUACAAAGGCACCAAUACCUAACAUUUAUCCUAACAGAUUCACGGGUCCAAGAAUAGGGUCAGACCGGACCGGACCUGUUGAAUCUUGAGUGACACAGAUGUCCUGUUGGUGUGAGGUGGGGAUUUUUAGUUUAGAAGAGCUUGAGACCUUGUUACAUUUCAAAGUAGCAGUUCACAAAUGGGCACCCCAUUUGGUCAUCAUGUGGGAUCAUGGGUUUAUCAUACAUGUUUUAUCUAGCACAACUAUCAAAAUUCCCUCACAGUUUGAUUUAGCAUACUAUUUAGACCCUGAUGCUCUUAAACUAACGCAUGCAAAAGCAUUUGAAAUCACACUAUUUAGUACAACAUUUUCUUCAAAAUAUCACUUUUGGAUAUCAAACUUACUUACAAUCCAAGACAAAUGAAAUAUAAAACUUAAUUGCAUCCAUUAAGAAAUAGGAGUCAAUGUAGUUUCUCAUGUACUUUUCUGCUCGAGAGGUGGUAAUGGAACAAAUAAAUAUAUCUCCACCGCAAUUCAGAAAUAUUUUUGUGUGUUCAUUUCAUGCCCAGAGUCUUGCAGGUUGUAAGUGUGUCAAUAUAUUUAUGUGGUUCCUUAUGUCUUUGUUUCAUAUCUAUUUCAGGUUUUCCUCUGUGGCCUCAAAUCCAGCUUAUCGUUGAUUCCAUAUUGAAUAAAUGUCUGCAGUCUUAGUUUGCACUCUGUUCUGCAACAUGGAAAUUUGGACUGGUCCACUUCAUCUCGAGCCGCUGGUCCACUGCUUCUCUGGUUUUAUAAAAAGGUAGAUAUUGUUUUUUCCUGGAUCAUUGGUACUUAUAGCCUUAUAGGAGGCCGAUUCUUAAAUUGGCUAAUAAGCAAGGCUUAAAUGUAGAUGAUUGUCCUUUGUCACUCUUUAGUAAUAUAGCUGACUUUUUUUCAUUUUUUGUUCAUGGCAAAGACGCCUAUGUGUGUGGGCGUGUGUGUUGCCAUCGAAUCAGGAUGAAAAGUUUGGGUCUCCUCUGAUUUAUUUACAUAUGUAUCUUCCACUACCUGAACUUUCCCUGUCCUACAGAGCAUAUACAUGCAUGUGUUGGAAGGCUGAUUAGAGACUGGUCUUUACUACCGGCUGCCCUCUAUCUGAAAUAUCAAACAUUUACUUCCUCCACCUAUUCGGAUGCCUAUGCUUGGCUGUUGUAAUUGCAGAUGGAUUUAUGAUGUUGAGCAGAUCACCAUGUUGAAGGCUGAGCAAUUAGAGACGAGUGUUAUUGCCAAAGUAAGGUGAUGAUAAAUAAUCUCAUGUUUGACUUCGUGCAUGUUCAUAUAAUAACAAUGUGAUUCGGCACGCCGAUUCCUUUCUAUGCGCUGAUUUUUGUUUCUCUCUUUAUACGUUUAAAUUUUUGAGGAAAAUAACGCUGCAUGAUUAUAUCGGUUUAACUCCAGUUCACAUUCUUACACAUAUUCCUCCUACCUUUGCUUCAUAUAAGUGUCUUGAUACACUAUUAUAACCAUUCAUGAUCUAAUCACACUAAAUAAGAGAUAAUGGGGAAGAUUCUGUCCUACCUUUGCUUCAUAUAAGUGUCUUUUCAACACCACUGUCCAAAACAGCGGGACCUAUCCAACGCAAAUGUCGAUUACUUGUGUUUGCUCUCCUAAUGAGAUAAUGGGGGAAGAUUCUGCCGCUUUUGAGGCCAUCAGGUACAUGGAGAGCGCCACAAACACUGUGGCGAAGGAUCUGAAAUACAAACGGCUGGGCAAAUUUACCGAGUGUUUGGUUAUCUAAGGCUCAGACUCGAUUAGGCAUUUGACAUGAUAGACAAGCUUGCCAAAGGUUACUUAUAUGAUGUGAGAUACAUGUCCUCCUUUUCAGAUUAGAUUGAUAGUGUGAUGGCAGAUGCCUUUCCUGCUACUUGUGCCAUGGAUAAAUCGACAAAGUUGAUGGUUAUUAUAUUGAGUUGGUGGGGCAUAAUCUUAAGGACAGAAGCUGCCACUAGCUACUGAGAUGUGCUCUGUGAACUAUUGUCGGAUUGUCCUUGCCUUCUGUAAGAGUGCCCUGCUCUAAGAAUUAUAUGAAAUUCUUUAUGUUGACUUCAUAUUAGUUGCACUAAUGCACUGCUGGAGCUUUAGCAGAACUAUAUAGGAUUCUUAUCUUGGAAUGUCGUUUGCACCCAACUGUUGUAUCUAUUUUAUGAGGAACCAUUGUCUUGGCUUACUUUUGAAACCAAAUAUAUAUUCCUACUUUGUCA